AGAUGAGUCCUUAUGUGAGAUUGGAAGCGAGAUAAUGGCAGUCAUGCAGCUGCACUUGCUAUGUGUGGGCACUGCAUUAGCCGCAGGGGAUGCUACAGCUUGCCAGAUUCGCUUAGCAGAUAUUAGCUUCUCAAGCUUUCAACUCGAGAGAGUUUCACUGUUUUGUUUUUUUCCCACGAUAAAGGACCGCCAUGAGGCUUCGUACGAGUUGUCUACAUAGUUCUCCUCUAGUGCACUACAUACUUCCUUCAUUUACUCGUCGAAAGGUUCAUCCAAACCUUAAAGCAAAUGCUAUGGAGGGUGGUGAACGAGGAAGGAAGAAACUGGGACCUCCUCCUGCCCUAUGUACUUUUCGCUGUCCGGGAGUGCCCCCAAGCCUCCACGGGCUUCACUUCCUUCAAACUCCUCUUCGGACGGCGACCUCGAGGACUGCUGGACGUGGCUCAGGAAGCCUGGGAGGAACAGCCCUCCCCAUACCGGGCUGUUGCAGGUGAUAGUUCACAGGCCCCUUACUCUCAAGGACAGUGUAGGGCCCUUGCCAUUGGGCUAGGAACUUGCAGGAACUGUUCGGUACUAGCAGGAGCACCCGGUCGCCAG
ensembl:lncRNA